UGGGGAAUAUUGCGCAAUGGGCGAAAGCCUGACGCAGCGACGCCGCGUGAGGGAUGAAGGUUUUCGUAUCGUAAACCUCUGUCAGAAGGGAAGAAACCGCACUGUGCUAAUCAGCAGUGCCUUGACGGUACCUUCAAAGGAAGCACCGGCUAACUCCGUGCCAGCAGCCGCGGUAAUACGGAGGGUGCAAGCGUUAAUCGGAAUUACUGGGCGUAAAGCGCACGUAGGCUGCUUUGUAAGUCAGGGGUGAAAUCCCACGGCUCAACCGUGGAACUGCCUUUGAGACUGCUUAGCUUGAAUCCGGGAGAGGGUGGCGGAAUUCCAGGUGUAGGAGUGAAAUCCGUAGAUAUCUGGAGGAACAUCAGUGGCGAAGGCGGCCACCUGGACCGGUAUUGACGCUGAGGUGCGAAAGCGUGGGGAGCAAACAGG
rnacentral:rRNA from 1 species